rnacentral:rRNA from 1 species
CAACUGAGAUUCCGUAAGUAGUGGCGAGCGAACGCGGAAGAGGCCAAACCGAGAGAAGAAAUUCUUUCGGGGUUCGGACUGCAUUUAGUAUUCUUGAUCUUUAGUCGAACAGUCUGGGAAGGCUGACGAGAGAGUGUGAUAGUCACGUAGACGAAAAGGAGAAAGAGCGAGCAGUAUCCAGAGUACCGCGGGGCACGUGAAAUCCCGUGGGAAGAUGGGGGGACCACCCUCCAAGCCUAAAUACUACCCAAUGACCGAUAGCGUAAAGUACUGUGAAGGAACGGUGAAAAGAACCCCGGGAGGGGAGUGAAAAGAACCUGAAACUCUGUGCUUACAAGCACAUAGAGCACGUCAAUGUGUGAUAUGGUACCUUUUGUAGAAUGGUCCGGCGAGUUAUGGUAUGCAGCGUGGUUAAGGACUUCAGGUCUGAAGCCGAAGCGAGAGCGAGUCUGACAAGGGCGAAAAGUUGUAUGCCAUAGACCCGAAACCGGGUGACCUAGCCAUGUCCAGGCUGAAGUGGAGGUAAAGCUCCAUGGAGGGCCGAACCGACCCCCGUUGAAAAGGUGGCGGAUGAGGUGUGGCUAGCGGAGAAAUUCCAAUCGAACCCGGAUAUAGCUGGUUCUCCCCGAAAUAGCUUUAGGGCUAGCCUCGAAUAUAUUUACCGGAGGUAAAGCACUGAAUGGUCGAGGGGUCGAGAGACUACCAACACCUAUCAAACUAAGAAUACCGGAUAAAUGAGUUCGGGAGUCAGACUACGUGAGAUAAGUCUCGUGGUCAAAAGGGAAACAGCCCAGACCCACAGCUAAGGUCCCUAAUGUAUGCUAAGUGGAAAACGAUGUGGAAUUGCGAAAACAACCAGGAUGUUGGCUUAGAAGCAGCCACUCAUUAAAAGAGUGCGUAAUAGCUCACUGGUCGAGUGACUCUGCGCCGAAAAUUUAACGGGGCUAAACUAUACACCGAAGCUUGGGAUACAUCUAAUGUAUGGUAGGAGAGCGUUCUGUAUGGGGAGAAGUCGUAGCGAAAGCGGCGGUGGACUAUACAGAAGUGAGAAUGCCGGAAUAAGUAGCGAGAAUUAAGUGAGAAUCUUAAUGGCCGAAAGUCUAAGGUUUUUGGAGGAAGGUUCGUCCGCUCCAAGUAAGUCGGGAGCUAAGGUCAGGCCGAAAGGCGUAGCCGAUGCACAUACGGUUGAUAUUCCGUAACCAUCUGUAAUUUAAGCAAAGGGACACUUCAAAAGGGUGUGACCCGGGCGUUGGUUGACCCGGGCGUAAGGGACCGAAAUUAGAGUAGGGAAGCACACUUAGCUGAAGGCGAGAAAAGCUUUGCGUAUAGAAACAGAUGCCCGUACCGCAAACCGACACAGGUGGACAGGAAGAGAAUUCUAAGGCCAGCGGGAGAAGGGUAGUUAAGGAACUCGGCAAAUUGACUCCGUAACUUCGGAAUAAGGAGUGCUCGAAAGAGCCGCAGAGAAUAGGCCCAGGCGACUGUUUAGCAAAAACACAGGUCUCUGCCAAAUCGAAAGAUGAAGUAUAGGGGCUGACACCUGCCCGGUGCCGGAAGGUUAAGAGGAGGAGUGAGAGCUCCGAAUUGAAGCCCCGGUAAACGGCGGCCGUAACUAUAACGGUCCUAAGGUAGCGAAAUUCCUUGUCGGGUAAGUUCCGACCUGCACGAAUGGUGUAAUGAUCUGGACGCUGUCUCAACCGUGAGCUCAGUGAAAUUGUAGUAUCGGUGAAGAUGCCGAUUACCCGCGAUGGGACGAAAAGACCCCGUGAACCUUUACUAUAGCUUAACAUUGAAUUUGGGUAAUUGAUGUGUAGGAUAGGCCGGAGGCUUUGAAGCGGGCACGCCAGUGUCCGUGGAGCCGCUGUUGAAAUACGGCCCUUUGAUUAUUUGAGUUCUAACCCGUUGUUGCGGGGACACUGUUUGGUGGGUAGUUUGACUGGGGUGGUCGCCUCCAAAAGUGUAACGGAGGCUUCUAAAGGUGCCCUCACGACGAUUGGUAACCGUCGGCAGAGUGUAAUGGCAUAAGGGCGCUUGACUGGGAGACUUACAAGUCGAUCAGGUAGGAAACUAGAGCAUAGUGAUCCGGUGUUUCUGUAUGGAAAGGACAUCGCUCAAAGGAUAAAAGGUACUCCGGGGAUAACAGGCUGAUCCCUCCCAAGAGCUCAUAUCGACGGAGGGGUUUGGCACCUCGAUGUCGGCUCGUCACAUCCUGGGGCUGGAGAAGGUCCCAAG